rnacentral:rRNA from 1 species
UGAGGAAUUUUGCGCAAUGGGAGCAAUCCUGACGCAGCAACGCCGCGUGGGUGAUGAAGGCCUUCGGGUCGUAAAGCCCUGUCAGGUGGGAAGAAUGUCCCGGAACUGAACAGGUUUCGGGAGUGACGGUACCACCAGAGGAAGCACCGGCUAACUCCGUGCCAGCAGCCGCGGUAAUACGGAGGGUGCGAGCGUUAUUCGGAAUUACUGGGCGUAAAGCGCGUGCAGGCGGUUUGGCAAGUCUGAUGUGAAAGCCCCGGGCUUAACCUGGGAAGUGCAUUGGAAACUGCCGGACUUGAGUACUGGAGAGGAAGGGGGAAUUCCCGGUGUGGAGGUGAAAUUCGUAGAGAUCGGGAGGAAUAUCAGUGGCGAAGGCGCCCAUCUGGACGGUAACUGACGCUGAGACGCGAAAGCGUGGGGAGCAAACA